UACGUAGGGUGCGAGCGUUGUCCGGAAUUACUGGGCGUAAAGAGUUCGUAGGCGGUUUGUCGCGUCGGGUGUGAAAACCUUGGGCUUAACUCAGGGCUUGCUUUCGAUACGGGCAGACUAGAGGUAUGCAGGGGAGAACGGAAUUCCUGGUGUAGCGGUGAAAUGCGCAGAUAUCAGGAGGAACACCGGUGGCGAAGGCGGUUCUCUGGGCCGAUACUGACGCUGAGGAGCGAAAGCGUGGGGAGCGAACAGG
rnacentral:rRNA from 1 species